rnacentral:sRNA from 1 species
CCUAUGUAACAAACCUGCAUGUUGUGCACGUGUAUCCCAGAACUUAAAGUAUAUUAAUUUAAAAAAUUUACAUAUUUUUAGAGGUUAAAAUUAAUGUCUUUUAACAAUCUUACUAAAUAAAUAGCUAUCACCAUAUAAUUUUAUAACUGUUACUGCCCACAACCAUAAAAUUAAUUAUGAUAACCUUUACAUAAUAUAGAGUUUCUCAUUAGUGUCUGGUGUAGCAUUAGACUGGCUUCAGUCUUUAACUACUGGAUUUCAUCAAGUCAUGAUUCCAUUGAUUAAAAAUGCCUGAUGAUUACAGAAUGUUAAAAUAAAAUUCAGUAGUUGAAUGAUAUUAUUUCUAUCACUUCAAUUCUUUGAUUGUUUUUAUGUAUAUAAGAAAUUUGUGGCUGGGAGCAGUGGCUCACUCCUUUAAUCCCAGCAUUUUGGGAGGCUGAGGUGGGAGGAUCCUUUGAGCCCAGAGUUCGAGACCAGCUUGGGCAAUGUAGGGAGAUCUUAUCUUUACAAAAAAAAAAAAGAAAGAAAGAAAAAAUAGCCGAGCAUGGUGGUGCAUGCCUGUAGUUCCAGUUACUCGGGAAGCUGGGAUGGGAGGAUGCUUUGAGCGCAGGAGUUCCAGGCUGCAGUGAACUGUGAUCAUUCCACUACACUCCAGCCUGGCAACAGAGGGAUACCCCGUCUCAAAAAUAAAUAAAUAAAUAAAUAAACAAAAACAAAAAGAAAAGAAAAAUUUGUAUGAUACAAACUCUUAAGUCAAUUUAUAUACUAAAAUUCUGAUAAUUCCGUUGUAUAAAUAAGAAUAUAAAGACAUAUGUGUUGAUUAACUUCAAACAGCCGUCCACACAUUUGUUGAACAUCAUGCAUUUGCACUCUGUGCUCUUUAUUCUGUUUAUCCUAUAUUCAUACAGGUUACCAAAGAAGAUGACUUUGCUUACAUAAACUCUCCAGGUUGAUACAUUUUACUAAGAAGUUUGCGUGAAUAAUUAUAUACCCAAAGUGUUACAACCCUUGGAGAGCCUCAGAAUGAAGCCUUAGGCUUAGAGACACAAAGAAACAGGUGUAAAAUGCAUUUUCUUUUCCAUCACAUCAAGGGAUUUACCUGAUGUUUGGAAGGAAGAUACUAUUCCAUACUUUGUUUUCUUAAAUUUCCUCUCUGACAAAUUUCCUUACUGAAAUCAAAAUCUUACUAAUUGUUUUUCUCAUUUAUUGUUUCAGCCAGCCAAGCCAGGGACUUGUUGUCAAAGAUGCUAGUGAUUGACCCAGCAAAAAGAAUAUCAGUGGACGACGCCUUACAGCAUCCCUACAUCAACGUCUGGUAUGACCCAGCCGAAGUGGAGGCGCCUCCACCUCAGAUAUAUGACAAGCAGUUGGAUGAAAGAGAACACACAAUCGAAGAAUGGAAAGAACUUAUCUACAAGGAAGUAAUGAAUUCAGAAGAAAAGACUAAAAAUGGUGUAGUAAAAGGACAGCCUUCUCCUUCAGGUGCAGCAGUGAACAGCAGUGAGAGUCUCCCUCCAUCCUCGUCUGUCAAUGACAUCUCCUCCAUGUCCACCGACCAGACCCUGGCAUCUGACACUGACAGCAGCCUGGAAGCCUCGGCAGGACCCCUGGGUUGUUGCAGGUGACUAGCCGCCUGCCUGCGAAACCCAGCGUUCUUCAGGAGAUGAUGUGAUGGAACACACACACACGCAGACACACACACACACACACAAAUGCAGACAUACAACAUCAAGAAAACAGCAAGGGAGAGAAUCCAAGCCUAAAAUUAAAUAAAUCUUUCAGCCUGCUUCUUCCCCAGGGUUCUGUAUUGCAGCUAAGCUCAAAUGUAUAUUUAACUUCUAGUUGCUCUUGCUUUGGUCUUCUUCCAAUGAUGCUUACUACAGAAAGCAAAUCAGACACAAUUAGAGAAGCCUUUUCCAUAAAGUGUAAUUUUAAUGGCUGCAAAACCGGCAACCUGUAACUGCCCUUUUAAAUGGCAUGACAAGGUGUGCAGUGGCCCCAUCCAGCAUGUGUGUGUCUCUAUCUUGCAUCUACCUGCUCCUUGGCCUAGUCAGAUGGAUGUAGAUACAGAUCCGCAUGUGUCUGUAUUCAUACAGCACUACUUACUUAGAGAUGCUACUGUCAGUGUCCUCAGGGCUCUACCAAGACAUAAUGCACUGGGGUACCACAUGGUCCAUUUCAUGUGAUCUAUUACUCUGACAUAAACCCAUCUGUAAUAUAUUGCCAGUAUAUAAGCUGUUUAGUUUGUUAAUUGAUUAAACUGUAUGUCUUAUAAGAAAACAUGUAAAGGGGGAAUAUAUGGGGGGAGUGAGCUCUCUCAGACCCUUGAAGAUGUAGCUUCCAAAUUUGAAUGGAUUAAAUGGCACCUGUAUACC